rnacentral:rRNA from 1 species
UAGGGAAUCUUCGGCAAUGGACGAAAGUCUGACCGAGCAACGCCGCGUGAGUGAAGAAGGUUUUCGGAUCGUAAAACUCUGUUGUUAGAGAAGAACAAGGACGUUAGUAACUGAACGUCCCCUGACGGUAUCUAACCAGAAAGCCACGGCUAACUACGUGCCAGCAGCCGCGGUAAUACGUAGGUGGCAAGCGUUGUCCGGAUUUAUUGGGCGUAAAGCGAGCGCAGGCGGUUUCUUAAGUCUGAGGUGAAAGCCCCCGGCUCAACCGGGGAGGGUCAUUGGAAACUGGGAGACUUGAGUGCAGAAGAGGAGGGUGGAAUUCCAUGUGUAGCGGUGAAAUGCGUAGAUAUAUGGAGGAACACCAGUGGCGAAGGCGGCUCUCUGGUCUGUAACUGACGCUGAGGCAAGAAAGCGUGGGGAGCAAACAGG